rnacentral:rRNA from 1 species
CUCUUCGGAGCGGGUAGUACAGGUGCUGCAUGGCUGUCGUCAGCUCGUGCCGUGAGGUGUUCCGGUUAAGUCCGGCAACGAGCGCAACCCGUACUGCCAGUUACCAGCGGAUCAUGCCGGGGACUCUGGCAGGACUGCCCGUGUCAAGCGGGAGGAAGGUGCGGAUGACGUCAAGUCAGUAUGGCCCUUACGCCCAGGGCUGCACACGUGCUACAAUGGCCGGUACAAUGGGCUGCAACACGGCGACGUGAAGCCAAUCCUGAAAACCGGCCCAGUUCGGAUCGAAGUCUGCAACUCGACUUCGUGAAGUCGGAAUCGCUAGUAAAGGGUAUCAGCUACGGCCCUUGAAUACGUUCCCGGGCCUU